UACAAAGAGAAUUGAGCAGCCAACGCAACUUUCGGUAUUCGGCAGGGAUCCCCAAAGUGGUGUGUACCUUCUCAUGUCUGGAGAAGUCUUGGGAUUUGAACUAAAUUCCAAAUCUACAUAAACAAAGGAGGACAAAUCAGAAGACAGCUAAACAAAAAAUGAAGCAGCUUAGAAACUAAGCAACCUACUUACCAUCUAUGAAAGUAGUUGGAACGCACAGCCCAAGCAAAAAGUCAAAUUUCCAGUCUCCG
rnacentral:lncRNA from 1 species